GUGACUUCGUGUUUCAUGCGACUCAUGUGAUUUCAUGUUUCAUGUGACUUAUGUGAUUCUUGUUAUUCAGUGAUCUAAGUCACAUAGUUCAUGUGUAUCAUGUGAUUUAUGUGAUUCAUGUGAUUUAUGAGAAGUGUCUGUUGCAGUAAAUAAGCUUAAGUAUUAAAUUUUUCACACCAGAUCCAGACGGGCACAAUAGUAAGUUGCACUGUUACGAAUAGUAAGUGAUUCUCUCCACGCAUAUCCGGUAUCGAUGAUUUGGAGGUAUAGUUGGUAGCUUAAUGUUAAUCGACUGGGACCUGUGUUAAUUCACUAUCGAUAGUGCCCACCCCUUUUCAUGAACCACCCUUUUAAGAUUCUUCCCAAGCCAUUAGACUUCUUCCGACAAACACUUGCGUUAAUCCGGAUACCGUGUCGAUGAGCUAACCUGAAUCUUCUUUAAUCAUAACCAUUGAACUAGUUCAUUCCUUAGUUAAGACCAUUCCGUUGGUCAUUUCAUUACUUGAUUUUGGUUCGUUUUGCGCGCAUUAACAUGUUCGGACCGAUAUCGCAAUCUUAUUCCUCUUAAUUGCGGGAUUCUCUUUAUCACUUGUCAAUAUUGAUAAGUCGUUAAAUUUUUAUUUUCCCUUUUGAAUUACCAGUAAUGCUCUCAUCUGGUUUAAAUUAUAAUUCAGUCCUUCGAAAUUGAACUUGGUUAUUAUCAGCAGUUGCUUAAGACUUAUUAAAUAGCAAUUAUUUUUGUUAAGGUAAUUAGCUUAUUUUUAAAUAAGUUUUACGAUUUUGUGCCAUCCUAACUUAAUUCUUUGCUAAACAUGUUCAAUUUAGAGCAAUUCUUGCUUAACCCUAAAGAUGAACUACCAAGAUUACAUCUUGCAAAGAAAGCGGAACUCUUGACUAUCACCCAGAAAUGGCAAAUAUACCUUCAGAGUCCUCCUAUGUCAAAGCUAGAUUGAUAAGCGACAUCCUCCAAUUUCUAAUUGCAAAGAAUGUAGUUAAAGAGAGCGACGAAGAAGUAGAAGAAGUACGUUACCUGACCGGUGCGGUUGCUAAAAGUAAAGAAGAUCCAGAAGUAACCAAGAUGAAACUACAAUUGGAAUUGGAAAAAAUGAAGAUACUCAAUGCACGAGAAGAAGAAGAAAGGGAAAUAAGAAAAGGUGAAAGAAGACGAGAAGCUGCAUUACAGGAAGUAUAACUCCAAAAGAAAUUAGCGGAAAUAGAAUUGUCGAAAACAAGAGAAACUGCUAACAUACAACUUAAAACCAAGGAAGAAGAACGCAAUCUUCCUGAAAAGUUCGACUUCAACAAAGCAAACAAGCUCAUUCCUACAUUUGAUGAAAAAGAACCCGAAGUAUUCUUCGACAUAUUCGAGGAUACAGCUACCUCGCUCGAGUGGCCGGCAGAUCACUGGGUAAUGCUCAUUAGAAACGGUUUCAAAGGUAAGGCAGCCUAUGUUUCCUCGCAAAUGAUUUCUGUUAAGGAUUAUCAGAUCCUUAAGAAAGCUAUUCUAGACGCUUAUUCAAUCACAAUAGAAGGAUAUCGUCAAAGUUUCCGCAAUUCACAAAAAUCUCCAACCCAGACAUUUGUGGAAUUUUGUGAUACUAAAGUUAGACAAUUUCAAAAGUGGAUUGACAAAGCAGGAAUUAAAGAAUUUGAGUCACUUAAAAGUCUGGUAAUCAUAGAAGAGUUUCUUAGAAAAGUGCCAUUUAACAUUGCUAACUAUAUUUUAGAUAAGGAGGAAACUGAUCUCAUGAAAGCAGCUAGUCUGGCAGAUGACUAUUUUCUGCGCCAUAAAUCAUAUAAACCUGCCUAUAAUAAAACUACCUUUUUUUUCAGACAGAUUUUGUACUUGCUGUAAGCAGGUAGGACAUCCCAUUGAAAAGUGCCCAGAUCCUCAGUGUAGAAAGUCUGAAGUCAAAAGAACAUAAGCCUGGUAAAAAACAGGAUUCCAAGAAAACGAUGCAUGUGACCGUCCCUACUCCGGAUUUAGAUUCCUUCAAACCUUACACAUGCCAAGGUUCAGUAAAUGGGAAACCUGUAGUUUGUCUUCGUGAUACAGGAUCGUCUCAAACUAUUAUCAACCUACCACCACAGGAGCUGACAAUGAAGCAAGAAUAUGUUGCUGUAACGGACUUGACAUCGACCAAGAGUCUACCCUUGGCUGAGGUAACACUUCAGUGCCCCUUCUACACAGGUAAAGCUUCUGUUGCUGUGUCUAAUAAACCCUUGCCACAUCCAUCAAUACAGGUACUGAUAGGUAAUGACCUUGCAGGGGCCAAUGCUUUGAAUUUAGUAGUAACAGAUCCAGAUGUCAUUCUGAAACAAGAACUUAAAGUAAAUGAAAAUAAAAUUGUUCAAUCUGUAUCAAAGGUUCCAAAAAAAAAUAACUCUUGAAACAUCUAAAGUAGAGAAGGCUUUGGAAUUAGUAAAUUUAAGCAAAUAAAGUUUCAGCAGUUACAGAGCAAUGAUCCUAGCCUUACGACAUACUGGAAAAGAGUAGAAAAUCCAUCAGAUAACCCCAACUCCUUACUUUUAUACUGAUCACGGCUUACUCUUCAGGCAUUUUAGAUCUUCCAAAGCACCAGUAACUUCCACGUGGCAUGACUGUCACCAGCUUGUCUUACCAGCAACCCUUGUACCACCACUUCUAGAUUUGGCUCACACCUCUGAAUCCCAUCUAGGAGUUAAUAAAACCUAUCAGAGUUUCACCGGACUUCUUCUGGCCAGGUAUAAAGAAAGAUAUUAAGGAGUACAUAAUGUCCUGUCAUCAAUGCCAGGUCACAGGUAGGCCCAACGAGAGUAUUAUUCGUGCACCUUUGCAGCCCAUCUCGGUACCAAAACAACCUUUUGAGAAAAUAAUUAUUGACUGUGUAGGACCUAUGCCUAAAACUCGGAAAGGUAACGAGUACUUGCUAACUAUCUUGUGUCCUACUACUAGAUAUCCCAUUGCAAUGCCUAUUAAGAACAUUAAUGCCAAAACAAUCAUUGGUCAGCUUGUUAAGGUGUUCACAACCUUUGGAUUUCCUAAGAUUCUCCAAUGUGACAGAGGUACUAAUUUUACCAGUAAGUUAUUCAAACAAAGUAUGCAAGAGUUUAAUAUUCACAAUGUCUAUGCUUCGGCAUAUCAUCCACAGACAAAUGGAGCUCUUGAAAGGGUACACCAGACCAUAAAAAAUCUUCUACGUAAAUACAUGGAGGAGACUGCCCAAUCGUGGGAUGAAAAUUUAGACCUCCUCAUGUAUAUGCUACGCAGUGUACCUAAUGAUUCGACUGGUGUAUCACCCUUCGAACUUGUUUGGCAGGAAACCACGAACAACUUUAAGUAUGGUGAAAGAAAAUUAAUUUCAUUCAUAAAAAGGAGGAGGACACUACCACCCUGUUAGCUUAUAUGAAAGAACUGAAAGAAAAGUUCCUUUCCAUGUGUCACAUUUAAUAUUAUAAUUACUGUAUAAUGUUCCAAUUAUACCGCUGAAUACAUUUCAAGUUUGUAACUAGCGUGUCGGUGGUUACUGGGAUCGUUAAGUGUUUAUUAGGCAGCCAGGUUCUUGAGACGUCUUCGACACUGGAAUUGAGUGCUCGGGGUCUUUCUCUGUCCAACGCUAUGUGAUUUUGGGUGCUCCCAUGCUUCGUGAACUUGGGAAAACUCCGUUACCUGUGUGGUUGUUACCUGUGUGGUACUGUUGCUGUUACCUGUGUGGUAUUGUUACCUGUGUGGUACUGUUGCUGUUACCUGUGUGGUAUUUUCUUAAUAUAUCUCUCAACGUACGAGGACCCAACACUACGAAUGGACUGAUUAUGCGAGUGCUGUAUUUUGUUCCAGUGACCAUUUUGGGUGCAGUACACACACCACAGUUCGAGCUUCUGAGUGCAAGUUGUCUACGAUUCCUGUGGGUCCGUGGCACCACUUAUGCAACCUGCAGUGGAUCACAGCUCACAGCUCUAGUGGAUGGGCCAAGACGGGCUCGUCAUUCAGCACCUAUAUGCCAGUGUUGCUUAGAUGUAGCAUGAAAGCUGUUUAUGUCAUUUGCAUACCCUCUGUGUUAAAUUGAUCCUAAUUACCAUAGUGUUAAAUAAAUUGUUAUGAUUUUA